rnacentral:rRNA from 1 species
UACGUAGGUGGCAAGCGUUGUUCGGAAUCAUUGGGCGUAAAGGGCAUGUAGGUGGUUUUACAAGUGUGAGUUGAAAUACCGAAGCUUAACUUCGAGUAUGGCUUGCAAACUGUAAGACUGGAGUGUAGAAGGGGGGACUGGAAUUCCGCGUGUAGGGGUGAAAUCUGUAGAUAUGCGGAAGAAUACCUGUGGCGAAGGCGAGUCUCUGGUCUACAACUGACACUGAAAUGCGAAAGUGUGGGGAGCAAACAGG